rnacentral:tRNA from 1 species
GAAAAUCCGUUGGCUUUAGUGACCGUGAGGGUUCAAGUCCCUCUACCCCCA